rnacentral:rRNA from 1 species
UGGGGAAUAUUGCACAAUGGGCGCAAGCCUGAUGCAGCCAUGCCGCGUGUAUGAAGAAGGCCUUCGGGUUGUAAAGUACUUUCAGCGGGGAGGAAGGUGUUGAGGUUAAUAACCUCAGCAAUUGACGUUACCCGCAGAAGAAGCACCGGCUAACUCCGUGCCAGCAGCCGCGGUAAUACGGAGGGUGCACGCGUUAAUCGGAAUUACUGGGCGUAAAGCGCACGCAGGCGGUCUGUCAAGUCGGAUGUGAAAUCCCCGGGCUCAACCUGGGAACUGCAUUCGAAACUGGCAGGCUAGAGUCUUGUAGAGGGGGGUAGAAUUCCAGGUGUAGCGGUGAAAUGCGUAGAGAUCUGGAGGAAUACCGGUGGCGAAGGCGGCCCCCUGGACAAAGACUGACGCUCAGGUGCGAAAGCGUGGGGAGCAAACA